GUCCCUGUAGCGCAACGAAACGCGAGUUGAACUUCUAAUCCAAAAGACGUGAGUUCGAAUCUCACCUGGGAUG